GGUGCUCGCAUUAAAGUUCAAGAGAUUGACAAAGAUGCUUCUGGAGAAAGGCUGGUCAUUGUUUCAUCUAACGAGAUACCAACUGAACCAAUAUCCCCAACAAUUGAGGCACUCAUUUUGCUCCAUGAUAAAGUGGGCAGGUGAUUACUGAAAUGAGAAGACGAACUGGGGAUGAAAUUCGAGUUUACUCGAAGGCAGAUAAACCAAAAUACUUGUCUUUUGGUGAUGAACUUGUGCAGGUUGCAGGGCCUCCAGCUAUUGCAAGAGGAGCCCUCACAGAGAUUGCUUCAAGGCUUAGAACUAGG